UCUAGUAUAGCAUCUAUACAGUGAAACUGCGAAUGGCUCAUUAAAUCAGUUAUCGUUUAUUUGAUAGUACCUUACUACUUGGAUAACCGUGGUAAUUCUAGAGCUAAUACAUGCUAAAAACCUCGACUUCGGAAGGGGUGUAUUUAUUAGAUAAAAAACCAAUGCCCUUCGGGGCUCCUUGGUGAUUCAUGAUAACUUAACGAAUCGCAUGGCCUUGUGCCGGCGAUGGUUCAUUCAAAUUUCUGCCCUAUCAACUUUCGAUGGUAGGAUAGUGGCCUACCAUGGUUUCAACGGGUAACGGGGAAUUAGGGUUCUAUUCCGGAGAGGGAGCCUGAGAAACGGCUACCACAUCCAAGGAAGGCAGCAGGCGCGCAAAUUACCCAAUCCCGACACGGGGAGGUAGUGACAAUAAAUACUGAUACAGGGCUCUUUUGGGUCUUGUAAUUGGAAUGAGUACAAUUUAAAUCCCUUAACGAGGAACAAUUGGAGGGCAAGUCUGGUGCCAGCAGCCGCGGUAAUUCCAGCUCCAAUAGCGUAUAUUAAAGUUGUUGCAGUUAAAAAGCUCGUAGUUGAACCUUGGGCCUGGCUGGCCGGUCCGCCUCACCGCGUGCACUGGUCCGGCCGGGCCUUUCCUCCUGGGGAGCCGCAUGCCCUUCACUGGGUGUGUCGGGGAACCAGGACUUUUACUUUGAAAAAAUUAGAGUGUUCAAAGCAGGCCUAUGCUCGAAUACAUUAGCAUGGAAUAAUAGAAUAGGACGUGUGGUUCUAUUUUGUUGGUUUCUAGGACCGCCGUAAUGAUUAAUAGGGAUAGUCGGGGGCAUCAGUAUUCAAUUGUCAGAGGUGAAAUUCUUGGAUUUAUUGAAGACUAACUACUGCGAAAGCAUUUGCCAAGGAUGUUUUCAUUAAUCAGUGAACGAAAGUUAGGGGAUCGAAGACGAUCAGAUACCGUCGUAGUCUUAACCAUAAACUAUGCCGACUAGGGAUCGGGCGAUG
rnacentral:rRNA from 1 species